UACAGAGACUGCAAGCGUUAUUCGGAUUCACUGGGCGUAAAGGGUGCGCAGGUGGCCAAGUGUGUUAGGCGUGAAAGCCCGGGGCUUAACCCCGGAAUUGCACCUAAAACUACUCGGUUAGAGCAUUGGAGAGGGGAGCAGAAUUCAUGGUGUAGCAGUGAAAUGGCGUAGAUAUCAUGAGGAACACCGGUGGCGAAGGCGGGUCUCUGGGCAACAACGUGACGCUGAGGAGCGAAAGCGUGGGGAGCGAACAGG
rnacentral:rRNA from 1 species